rnacentral:rRNA from 1 species
AACAACAUGGAUUCCCCUAGUAGCGGCGAGCGAAGCGGGAUGAGCCCAGAUUUGAAAGCUCCCGCCAGGGCGCAUUGUAAGCUGGAGACGUGCCUCGAGCGGCGCGGCUGGACGCCAAGUCUGCUGGAAAGCAGCAUCAGAGAGGGUGAGAAUCCCGUGCUUGGUCUGGCUGUGGCGCCGUGUUGUGGGGUGCGCUCGACGAGUCGCGUUUGUUUGGGAAUGCAGCGCAAAGCGGGUGGUAAACGCCAUCCAAGGCUAAAUACCGGGGAGAGACCGAUAGCGAACAAGUACCGUGAGGGAAAGAUGAAAAGCACUUUGGAAAGAGAGUUAAACAGUACGUGAAAUUGCCAAGAGGGAAGCGCUGGCAGUCAGUGCCGUAGCUGUGUCUCUCUGUGGAUGCAGUGGGGCCCGCAUCGGUUGCGUGUGGGGGAGAAGGCAGUGCGGAAGGUGGCUUACCUCGUGUGAGUGUUAUAGCCGUGCUGUGGAUGCCCUGCGUGCGACCGAGGACCGCUUUUCUUAGAGGAUGCGGGCUUAAUGGCUUUCAGCGGCCCGUCUUGAAACA